rnacentral:rRNA from 1 species
AGCGAACGCUGGCGGCAGGCCUAACACAUGCAAGUCGAACGAACCCUUCGGGGUUAGUGGCGGACGGGUGAGUAACACGUGGGAACGUACCUUUAGGUUCGGAACAACACAGGGAAACUUGUGCUAAUGCCGAAUGUGCCCUUCGGGGGAAAGAUUAUCGCCUUUAGAGCGGCCCGCGUCUGAUUAGCUUGUUGGUGAGGUAAAGGCUCACCAAGGCUUCGAUCAGUAGCUGGUCUGAGAGGAUGAUCAGCCACACUGGGACUGAGACACGGCCCAGACUCCUACGGGAGGCCAGCAGUGGGGAAUCUUGCGCAAUGGGCGAAAGCCUGACGCAGCCAUGCCGCGUGAAUGAUGAAGGUCUUAGGAUUGUAAAUUCUUUCACCGGGGAAGAUAAUGACGGUACCCG